rnacentral:rRNA from 1 species
GAGACCGAUAGCGCACAAGUAGAGUGAUCGAAAGAUGAAAAGCACUUUGGAAAGAGAGUUAAAAAGCACGUGAAAUUGUUGAAAGGGAAGCGCUUGCAACCAGACUUGUCGGCGGUGUUCCGCCGGUCUUCUGACCGGUCUACUCGCCGUCGACAGGCCAGCAUCAUCUGGGGCCGCCGGAUAAAGGCUUGGGGAAUGUAGCUCUCUUCGGGGAGUGUUAUAGCCCCUCGCACAAUACGGUGCGCCCCGGGUGAGGUCCGCGUCUCGGCAAGGAUGCUGGCGUAAUGGUUGUAAGCGGCCCGUCUUGAAACACGGACCAAGGAGUCGAUUAUCUAUGCGAGUGUUCGGGCGUCAAACCCCUACGCGUAAUGAAAGUGAACGGAGGUGGGAACCCUUACCGGUGCACCAUCGACCGAUCCGGAUGUCUUCGGAUGGAUUUGAGUAAGAGCAUAGCUAAUCGGACCCGAAAGAUGGUGAACUAUGCCUGAAUAGGGUGAAGCCAGAGGAAACUCUGGUGGAGGCUCGCAGCGGUUCUGACGUGCAAAUCGAUCGUCAAAUUUGGGUAUAGGGGCGAAAGACUAAUCG